rnacentral:rRNA from 1 species
UACGUAGGUGGCAAGCGUUGUCCGGAUUUACUGGGCGUAAAGAGCGCGCAGGCGGUCGUUCAAGUCGCGUGUGAAAGCCCCCGGCUCAACUGGGGAGGGUCACGCGAUACUGAUCGACUCGAAGGCAGGAGAGGGAAGUGGAAUUCCCGGUGUAGUGGUGAAAUGCGUAGAUAUCGGGAGGAACACCAGUAGCGAAGGCGACUUCCCGGCCUGUUCUUGACGCUGAGGCGCGAAAGCUAGGGGAGCAAACGGG